AUGCAUUUUGUCACAAUUCUGACUAUGACAUGCAUUGACAAGUGGCUUAUUUUUGUUGAAAUUAGGGUGAUCAUGAUUCUAAUAGCAAAGAUCAAUAGUGUGACCUCUCCUAAUACAAAAACUGAAUUGUCUAGUGGAAUUCUUGAAAUGGUAUGGGCUGAUGAGGAACCUGUUGAUCAGAAGAGAUUUCUUGAAGAGUCUUGCAAACCGAAAUGUGUGAGACCGUUACUUGAAUAUCAGGUUGCACCAAAGCUAUUCACACAACUGAAAUAA